rnacentral:rRNA from 1 species
AACAAGAGAGCAGCUUGCUGCUCUGCUGACGAGUGGCGGACGGGUGAGUAAUGUCUGGGAAACUGCCUGAUGGAGGGGGAUAACUACUGGAAACGGUAGCUAAUACCGCAUAACGUCUUCGGACCAAAGUGGGGGACCUUCGGGCCUCAUGCCAUCAGAUGUGCCCAGAUGGGAUUAGCUAGUAGGUGGGGUAACGGCUCACCUAGGCGACGAUCCCUAGCUGGUCUGAGAGGAUGACCAGCCACACUGGAACUGAGACACGGUCCAGACUCCUACGGGAGGCAGCAGUGGGGAAUAUUGCACAAUGGGCGCAAGCCUGAUGCAGCCAUGCCGCGUGUAUGAAGAAGGCCUUCGGGUUGUAAAGUACUUUCAGCGGGGAGGAAGGCGUUGUGGUUAAUAACCACAGCGAUUGACGUUACCCGCAGAAGAAGCACCGGCUAACUCCGUGCCAGCAGCCGCGGUAAUACGGAGGGUGCAAGCGUUAAUCGGAAUUACUGGGCGUAAAGCGCACGCAGGCGGUUUGUUAAGUCAGAUGUGAAAUCCCCGGGCUCAACCUGGGAACUGCAUUUGAAACUGGCAGGCUUGAGUCUCGUAGAGGGGGGUAGAAUUCCAGGUGUAGCGGUGAAAUGCGUAGAGAUCUGGAGGAAUACCGGUGGCGAAGGCGGCCCCCUGGACGAAGACUGACGCUCAGGUGCGAAAGCGUGGGGAGCAAACAGGAUU